UACGUAGGGUGCGAGCGUUAAUCGGAAUUACUGGGCGUAAAGUGUGCGCAGGCGGCCGAGCAAGUCGAGUGUGAAAGCCCCGGGCUUAACUUGGGAAUUGCGCUCGAAACUACUUGGCUGGAGUGUGGCAGAGGAAGGUGGAAUUCCAGGUGUAGCGGUGAAAUGCGUAGAGAUCUGGAGGAACACCGAUGGCGAAGGCAGCCUUCUGGGCCAACACUGACG
rnacentral:rRNA from 1 species